CUUUCCCUGGCUGACAGAACUCUGCCUUCGAGUAGGUGUUGGGGGUCAUGCCCUUCAUGAAAGGAGGAGUUUCUCUCUCAUCUCGUCAAAAAACAAAUUAUUCUGCCAAGCAAGGAGCAUGUUUUAGCUUAGUCACCACAGAAGAAACAGAUCACUUUUAAUUAUGACAUUUCAUCAACACUUGGCAAGUAAGAAAGAUGGGUUGAAAGACUGCAUCAGAAAUAUUCUAGAGUUAUUUUCCUGCUAACAUGGAAACAAAAAGAUUCAAUGUGAGAAGAAAAAAUAGAUUCCUAAUGGUCAAGAGAACAAGAAAAUUAGAUAGAAACUUAAAUAUAAAGUACCCGGAAGUCAAAAUGUUUGAAAUGACACUUAGAGCCUUAAUUAACCAGAUUUUAAGAU
ensembl:lncRNA LINC01066 long intergenic non-protein coding RNA 1066